UUGGAGGGCAAGUCUGGUGCCAGCAGCCGCGGUAAUUCCAGCUCCAAUAGCGUAUAUUAAAGUUGUUGCAGUUAAAAAGCUCGUAGUUGAAUUUCGGAAUCUGUCAAUUGGUCGGGCUUAAUUGUUCGCACUGAUUUGAUGGAAUCCUACCUUCUGAAUAACCAGCAUGCUAUUAAGUUAGUGCGUUGGGGAAGCAGAUCUAUUACCUUGAAAAAAUUAGAGUGCUCAAAGCAAGCUAGUGCUUGAAUAGAUUAGCAUGGAAUAAUAAAAUAGGACGGCAUGGUUCUAUUUUGUUGGUUUCUAGGACCACCGUAAUGAUUAAUAGGGAUAGUUGGGGGCAUUAGUAUUCAAUUGUCAGAGGUGAAAUUCUUGGAUUUAUUGAAGACUAACUUCUGCGAAAGCAUUUGCCAAGGAUGUUUUCAUUAAUCAAGAACGAAAGUUAGGGGAUCGAAGACGAUCAGAUACCGUCGUAGUCUUAACCAUAAACUAUGCCGACUAGGAAUCGGACGAAGUUAAUUUUUUAAUGACUCGUUCGGCACCUUACGGGAAAC
rnacentral:rRNA from 1 species